UGGGGAAUCUUGCACAAUGGGCGAAAGCCUGAUGCAGCGACGCCGCGUGCGGGAUGAAGGCCUUCGGGUUGUAAACCGCUUUCAGCAGGGAAGAUAAUGACGGUACCUGCAGAAGAAGCCCCGGCCAACUACGUGCCAGCAGCCGCGGUAAUACGUAGGGGGCGAGCGUUGUCCGGAUUUAUUGGGCGUAAAGAGCUCGUAGGUGGUUUGGUAAGUCAAAUGUGAAAUCUCCACGCUCAACGUGGAGGGG
rnacentral:rRNA from 1 species